GGCAGGAGAAUCACUUGAACCCAGGAGGCAGAGGUUGCAGUGAGCCGAGAUCGUGUCAUUGCACUCUAGUCUGGGCGACAGAGCAAGACUCCGUCUUGGAAAAAAAUUUAAAAAAAGAAAAUAUAAAAUAUGGUAUAAGAUUAAAUAUAUUAGUUAUGAAAAUAAUUGUAAAUGGCUUAUUGAACUUAUAGUCAGUAAAAAUCAUGUUUUUGAAAAUUAUGUAAUGACUUUGGAAAAUACCAGCAAUAUAAUGUUAAGUGGGGAAAAAAGCAAGUUACUCCUCUGUAAUACAUAUGAUUUUAGUUUUGUAAUAAAAAUUCCCAACCAUAUAUGCACUUAUAGGGAAACAAAGGACCCAUCGCAAAUGUUUUCCAUGCUGAUCUCCAAAGUGGUGAGUUUAUGUGUGAUUUUUAUUUUGUUUAUGCUCUUCUGUAUUUUCCGAAUUUCAUACAAUAAAUAUCUGUUACUUUUACA
rnacentral:lncRNA from 1 species